GAAAAAAAGGACGAUGUGUUGCCGCACCAGACUCGGCCUCCUUCCUAUUCUUUCGUCAAUCUCCCUCGACUUGGCUUCGUACAUCGAGAUCGAGAGAGGCUCUUACCUGGGAGGCUGGGAGAGAGCAGUCAGGCGGCGGCGGUGGCUCGAAGCACAGUCAGGCGGUGGCGGCUAGCGCGACACCCGCAGCCACCUCAUACUCCCUCGAUCUUCAUCCUAUUAGCUUUCGCCACCGUCACGCCGGUCCAGGCCCUGCCUCUGCCUGAGGCCACGCUAGGGCGCCGCCACCCACCUCAUCCCCUUUGCACACCCAAUCUCUCUUUCAGAUUCAGAUCCAGGCUGCUCAUCGGUGUCGAUCCCCAGCCGAAGCAUGAACAUUGAUCCAGGCAGGCCUUCUCUCCGAAUUCAGCCACUGGGGCAUGGCUCCCCUGCGGUUUGAAUCUGGGCGCUCGUCAACAGAGCGGCCAGAGAGGCGAGCUCUGGCUUUGGAUGCAUGGAGGGUAGGGGCCAGAGCCACCACGGCAGCCACGAGAGCGACAUGGACCUGCCAUGCUCGUCAACGACUUCCUCGAGAGCGGCGAUGGAGGUGGAGACUCGCGCAGCAGCAGCGACGGCGAGCCCGACGGUCCCGACCUCACCCACGCAUUGCUGUUGUAGGCUUCCACCGUCUGCUAUGCUGGCUCUGCUUCAGAAUCUCUGAUCAGUACAGGGGAGAACAAAAAUAGAUGUACAAGCAAGCUGAAAACAAGAAGGAAAUUGAGUUGCUUUCCAUGGUUCACUCACCAUUGUUAUCAAUCCAUAAGACAGAGCUUCAGGCUUGGUUCAAAAUGACAUCCAUGCUUAGUUUCUUACCAUCUACUUAUUGCUUGGUUAUUUAUCUGUCUAUUUUAUUGUUAUACUAGCAGACAUUCUCACGAAUCUUGCCCAAUGUUUUGACAUUUUCAGUACCUUUUCAUUGGCUAUUUCUUUGAAGCUUGAAUUACAAAAAGGAUAAAGAAGAAAUAUUGUGUACCAUGGAAAAAUAUAUGUGCAAUGAUAUGAAUUGUCCAAGCUCAGGCCACUGCUGGACAAGGCAUGCAUCUGGCAAGGUGUUCAUUGGUGUGGAACUCUGGCAUCCGGCAAGGUGUUCAUUGGGGCAGGGAUCGAUGGAGACGCAGUUGUGCAUGACGAAGUCCCUAAAGUGGCCCCUAGAUACUGCUGAAUGACCGGGUCACAGGCGGUAUCCAUCCAAUCUCGUCGUUCCGCCGACUUAGCAGGAACACUAUCCGCUCGUGCUCCACCCUUCACCGGAACUCCGUCUGACCAUGCUUCACCUGAGGGCACACAUUUUGUAUGGAUUGCUUAUUAGAAGAGGUGAUGGUGUGGUUUCAGCCUUCAUGUUUCUGGGUUCUGAGAUGACACAUUGGUUGACUUGUGCAACUCAAUCCAAAAUAAAUGCAAGUCAGUUAUUGUGGAUAUUGUUAGUACUACGUAUCGGGUCCUGUGUUGGGCAAUGAAGGUUUUAUACUGAAAAUAAGGAAUAUUGUGAGAUGUUGAUCCAUUGUGCCGUAAAAUAUAUAACCAUAAUAAUGCAGGAUCCACAACAUAUUUCGGCAUAAAGAAUUGCCUUCACACAUAGACCGUACGUCAAAUGUGGUCAGCAACAUCAUUUUUUGUUUACAUGUUCCAGAACUUGGUUGUUUUUCCUACCUAAAACGGGUUCACAUCGAGGGUGUGAAUUUGUAGUAGCUCCAACCAAUGGGUUUCUUUCCUUAGUCUUAAGUCACUGUGAUUUGAUAAGGAAUAUCACAAAUUUUGCAUCAUUCAGGACUAGCAGUAAUAAAAAAAUGCACUCUUUCAAGCUUCUCGGACCACUCCUCCCUAUCCAACCACAUUUCUUCCACCUGAGUGUAGUAGCUGGAGGAGGCGUAGCUUGAGUGAGAGUGUGGCUUAGCAACGCACAGGCACAUUUUUUAAUUUUUUUAAUAAUAAAGCACUGAGUGCUUCUGGUUGUCGUCAUUGAAAUUGCUCCAAAAGUUGCAAAAUAUUACCCACCGAUGUCAUCUAUAAAUAAUAAAAACGUUUCACAAAGGGGAAUCUCUGCAUGGGCCGGCCCCGUAGUAACCUUUUAUAUUGUGCUCUGCGCGCUGGGAAAAGAAACAUCGCCUGUUCGGGCUGGCCCAUGUCCGGAUGGCCUGUUUUUUAGUUUUCGUAUUUUAUUUUCCCUUUUCUUUUCUGUCUUUGUUUUUUCUAAUUUAAAUAAUUUGGUAAUUAAAAAAAUUCGAAAAAAUGAGAAUUUUGAAAUAAAAUGUUUAAUAAUUCAAAAUGCUUGUGGACUCAGAAAAUGUGAUUUAAAAAAAUGUUCGCGCACUCAAAAUAUUCACAAUUUUUAAAAAAAUGUUCGAGAAAUAAAAAAAUGUUCAUGUUUUUUUAAAAAGUUCAUGUAUUCAAAAAAUUAAUGCAAUUGAACAAAAUUUUGCCAGCUCAAAAAAUAUUACCUUGUGUGCAUAAUUUACAAUAACUAUUUAUAAUUUACAAAAUAGUUUAUUGAUUCAUAAAAUGUUUGCUGAUUCAAAAAAUGACAAUGCAUUAAAAAAGUUUGUUAAAUCAAAAAAGUGUCCGUGAAUUUCAAAAAUAGUUCCACCAAACAAUUCCAAAAGAACGUUCUUCGAUUCUAGAAAUGUUUGCCUAUUCAACAAAAAAGUAUUUAAAAAUGUUCACAAUUAAGAAAAAUGUUUGCAAAUAGUAUGAAAUGUUCUUGAUUUUAGAAAAUGUUCGAAAAUCGGUAAAAAUGUUCACAAAUUAUAAAAUGUUCAUGAUGUCAGAUAUGUUCACGAGUUUAAAAAAAGUUCAUGAUUUUAAAAAAUUGAUCAUGAUUUCACGAAAAUGAGAGCAAUAAUGUAUCUCGCUGAUGCAGCAAAAUGUUCAUGAUUUUUUUUCCCCUUGCAAUGCACGGGCCCUUUUGCUAGAUAAAAAAAUGUUCGUGGAUUUCAAAAAUUGUGCCACCAAUUUCCAAAAUAAUAUUUUUCAUUUCUAGAAAUAUUCGCCGAUUCAAAAAAUUGUUUGAAAAAUAUUUACUAUUUUAAAAAAAUGUUUGCAAAUUGUAUAUUAAUAAAUUUAGAUAAUGUUCUUGAUUUUAGAAAAUAUUCAAAAAUUUGUAAAAAUGUUCACGGAUUUGAAAAUUGUUCUCGAUUUUAGGUAUGUGCAGAAGUUUUGAAAAAUGUUCAUCAUUUCAUGAAAUUGAGAGUGAUAGUUUAUCUCGGUGAUGCAACAAAAUAUAGUCAUGGCCAUUGAAGAUUAUGAAAAAAAAAUUCGAUGCAACGCACGGGCCCUUUUGCUUAUCUCUUCCUAAUAAUAAAGCACGGAUUGACUUUGUCGGGUUCACCGUCACAAUACGCUUCUUUCCAUGAAUUUACGUUUUCAGUUUUUUUCACCUAUAUUAUUUUCUACAUCCGAGGUGAUACUAUUGCUUCUUACCAUCGAAAUUCCGUCCGCUCAGAUCGAACACAAGCGACCUACAGCAUAUUGGGCUUCAACAUGUUCGGCCCAACAAACAAAUCGAACGAAGAGACCGAUUAGAAGACGAAUCAGAGGCCCAAAACAAGACAGAUCCGAACACGUCCUCCGCUCCUAAGUCGGUCAACACGCACGUUCUUCUCUCAUCUCCCACCCUACAGAAAAAUCCAACCUCCACGGAUCCAUCGCCGCCACCAUACCAAGAUCCGGCGAGAGAGCGAUCGUCCCGGACGUGGGCGGCCAUCUGGAACAUGGAGCUGCCAUGAAAACGCUCGGUGUCAUGGAGGGAUGUUUUGCGAGCUGUUGGCGCGCCGUGUGCAGCCCCAGCGCCAACAAUAGCCCGAUCAUCCCAGCAGCCGAGGUAGCCAACCGGCUUGGCCUUUGCCCUCGCUGCGCCGCCGUCGAAGUGCGCGGCCGUGGUGGAGUAGCUCUACAGGGCGGCUGCACGGAGGCCGGCAGAAGCUUGUGAAGAGCCAUGACUGUGAUCGAUAGCAGCAAUCGCAAUUUUGAAUUCUUCUUUUGUUUCCCUUUGAGUUGAUGGGGGCUAGAUGUACUUCAGACAAGGCUUCAACAAGGAAGAGCGGAAGACAACUAAUACUUUUUAGUAUUGGAUGAUGUAGUGUACUAUCUAUCUAUCCAUUCAAGAAAAUUGAUGGCGAUGGAAUCCGCGUGUGUGCGUGUGUGGCUGUGCCUCUGGUCGCUCGAUGGUUUUUCGGGUUCAGUAAAGUAAGAAACUGUUGGUCCUAUUCUGAAUUCUAAUAAUGUUGAUCACCAGGGAGAGGGAGAUCAGAGGACGGAUGGAAGGGAUGGCGACAACGUUAUAUUCGAAAGGGAAUAACGCUGGAAUACCUUGCUAUUGCUACCUGUCAGAGUGCAUAAUUAUGAAGUAAAUUACUUGGCACUGCUUAGUUGCCAAACUUGACAGUUGCUAAGACCUUCUGUCGACAAGAUACACAAACAUACAAUUCCAUGGUACUAUGUAGAGUAUUCAAAGAGGUCAUCUUCAUGAAGCUAGCAGAGGAUAGACAUUAGGAAAAAUGAGAGAUGAGGUGUUUGGGCAUGAGUCGAUUGCAUUGUGGCAAUUGUCAUCGUAGUGUAUUUUCUGUCGCUAUUUACAGAACAACUACAGAGAGGACAUUGUUGCUAUUCUAAAGGUAAAUGAUGCACUUGACAUUGUAAUAUGAUUUGUACACCUGUUUCCAGAAAAAUAGCAAUUGAACAUACACAGGGUCAAGUGUAGUUGUUAAUUUUUUUCAAGUAGUACAAAUGCGGGCUUUUCUAUGUUUAUUCCUGAUUACAUCACACUGUAACUCAAUUCCUUGAAGCCAUGAUGUGUUCUCUGGUUCAUUGAAUGCACGAUUUGGAAUCUGAUAAAUUUUACUCGUAUGAUGUAAUUUAUGUCAAAUUUCCUAUGCAAAUAAUUUAGGAACCACAUUGCCCGUGUAUGUUAAGUUCUUCUGUCAGUUUUCUCACUUAGACAGCAAGACGAACGUGAUGCAAAACUGCCAUGGACUGCUGACAUAACUCAUGUAUUACUUCAUGAUGGUACACUUCCUUUUUGCCGUCUUUUCUGCCAUAAGCUCACUCUUUGAGAUGUUAGCCGGUAGGGAAAUAGAUUGAGAUCCUCUGGUUUUGCCUGGAGAUGUUAUGUUAUCCAUGGUGAUUCAGUUUCCAGUCCGUGUAGAUUAGUGUGACUAUGAGCCAUCGGGGACCUUCUGUGCAUGUUUAAUUAACAUACAAAAACUUCUGGAGUACUAUACACUUCAACGUAUGUAUAAAUAAUUUGACCUUAUAAAACAAACCAUUCAUCGGCUAGCUGAAUCAGAUGAUGAUCUAUGACAAUCAACCUAGCACAAAUAAAAAGUAAUUUCACUAAUUUUUCAAUUGCGCUCCACUGAACUUUGGUGUAAGUUCUUUUGUCUUAGGGUAUUUACAUUUUAAAUGACAGCCCUAAAAAAGUUUCUCAUUUAUUUAAUUCUUAUAAUUACAAAUAAUUCCAAAGAUCAACUUUACAUAAUUGAACCGGUACUUAAUUGAGAAACAGGGAGUUGACAUGGAACAAUAAAUUUGUAAACAUUUUUUCUAUUCUAUCGAUUAUUUUGAUUUGAAAUAUUUGUUAUUUCAACAUAAACAUGUUUUGAAAAUUUAUUGGUGUGAGCCUGUCAACGGACACAACUACGUGACUUGAAAUAUCUGAAAGGGCAAGGGAGAGCAUGGAGAUAAGAACACAAUGCAUAGCUUGUGGUCAUAUUUUCCUCAUGUUGAUUAAGCCGCUUGAAGCAAUAACUCAUGUUCUUGCAUUUCCUCUAUACUAAUGAAGUAGAUAAUGAAGGUUGGGCUUCUUUUAUAUCAGCAAGACCUGCUCUUUUUUCUUACUGAAAGCGGCCUACAACACUCAAUGUACACGCUUGAGUGUACUUGCAUAUUGUAAUGACACAUCACACUCACUCACUAAUGUGGAUCAGGACCGUGACAUAGUUGGUUCAUUUUAAUCCAUAAUGCACAAGGUAACAUGUGCACUACCAUAGUUUUUUUCCUAUUGGAGUAAAUUAAACUUUGAUGAAGUUUUACAUUGCAAUACAAUUGGCAUUGAAUGGAGAAGAUAAUUUGUACCAGGUGCUGAAUUGAUGAAAUAUGAUUUGGUUAAUUCUACUUUCUGUUGAUUUUAAAAUUGCUCUGAACUGUUGGUGCUUAAAGACAUGAAGCAAGGUCCAGAGAUGCCGUGUAUGUUUCAACUGCUAUAUUUAACAUGUAUGCUUAAUAAAAUUUUAGCACAAAUUUAUUAUGUUUACUCAGUUGGCCUUCAUGCUAUGUUUUUUAGUGAGUUGAAAAGGGGCUUGCUAGGCGGCAUGCUGGAGUAUAUGAUGAUCAAGCUUAUGACCUUGGGAUUGAUCAUGUUCAUCAUGAAUAGCUGGACAAUCUGACCACAAUUGGCGAUGGUGGCGAAGAGGAGAAGUGGCAAUAGGAAUGGGUCACUAGGAGGAUCUGUGUCGCUAGGAGGCUUGUAUUUCUCCCGUUGCAACGCACGGGCAAUUUUCCUAUAAUAAUAAAGCAUGGAUUGACUUUGCUGGGUUCACCGUCAUAA